rnacentral:rRNA from 1 species
AACAAACGCUGGCGGCGUGUCUUAAGCAUGCAAGUUGAGCGGCAAGGAGGAGAGAUCCUCCCUAGAGCGGCGGACUGGUGAGUAACGCGUGGGUAAUCUAUCUUAGGCAUGGGGAUAGUCACUAGAAAUAGUGGGUAAUACCGAAUAAGUUCCAUAAGGGGAGGACUUAUGGAAGAAAGGUGCUACGGCACUGGCCUUAGGUGAGCUCGCGUCCCAUUAGCUAGUUGGUGAGGUAAAGGCCCACCAAGGCGAUGAUGGGUAGCCGGCCUGAGAGGGUGUACGGCCACACUGGGACUGAGAUACGGCCCAGACUCCUACGGGAGGCAGCAGCUAAGAAUAUUCCGCAAUGGACGGAAGUCUGACGGAGCGACGCCGCGUGGAUGAAGAAGGCCGAAAGGUUGUAAAGUUCUUUUGCUAGGGGAGAAUAAGUGUGGGAGGGAAUGCCUGCACGAUGACAAGGACUAGCGAAUAAGUCCCGGCCAACUACGUG